rnacentral:rRNA from 1 species
CCAUGCAUGUCUUAGUACAUACUGAAUGAAAGUGAAACCGCGAAUGGCUCAUUAAAUCAGCUUCGAUUCCUUGGAUCGUACAUACUACUUGGAUAACCGUGGUAAUUCUAGAGCUAAUACAUGCAGCAGAGCCCCGACCCUCGGGAACGGGCGCUUUUAUUAGACCAAGACCGACCGGAUCUCUGUGUCCGUAAACGGUGGUGACUCUGUAUAACUUUGGGCUGAUCGCACGGGCUUGUCCCGGCGACGUAUCUUUCAAGUGUCUGCCUUAUCAACUGUCGAUGGUAGGUUACGUGCCUACCAUGGUCGUGACGGGUAACGGGGAAUCAGGGUUCGAUUCCGGAGAGGGAGCCUGAGAAACGGCUACCACAUCCAAGGAAGGCAGCAGGCGCGCAAAUUACCCACUCCCGGCACGGGGAGGUAGUGACGAAAAAUAACAAUACGGGACUCUUUUGAGACCCCGUAAUUGGAAUGAGUACAAUCCAAAUCCUUUAACAAGGACCCAUUGGAGGCGAAGCCUGGUGCCAGCACCCGCGGUAACUCCAGCUCCAAUAGCGUAUAUUAAAGUUGUUGCGGUUAAAAAGCUCGUAGUUGGAUCUCAGUUCCGGCCGGGGAGUCCGCCCAACGGCGGUCACUUUCUCGUGCUUGAACAACCAGUGGGUUUCCCCCGGUGAUCUUCAUCGGUUGUCGAGGUGACUUUCAAGUUUACCAUAAAAAAAUUAGAGUGCUCAAAGCAGGCGUGACGCCUGAAUAGUGGUGCAUGGAAUAAUGGAAUAGGACCUCGGUUCUAUUGUGUUGGUUUUCGGAACACGAGGUAAUGAUUAAGAGGGACAGACGGGGGCAUUCGUAUUGCGGCGCUAGAGGUGAAAUUCUUGGACCGUCGCAAGACGAACUACUGCGAAAGCAUUUGCCAAGAAUGUUUCCAUUAAUCAAGAACGAAAGUUAGAGGAUCGAAGGCGAUCAGAUACCGCCCUAGUUCUAACCAUAAACGAUGCCAGCCAGCAAUCCGGCUGCGUUCCUCAAAUGACGCGCCGGGCAGCUUCCGGGAAACCAAAGCUUUUGGGUUCCGGGGGAAGUAUGGUUGCAAAGCUGAAACUUAAAGGAAUUGACGGAAAGUCACCACCAGGCAUGGGAUAUGCGGCUCAAUUUGACUCAACACGGGCAAGCUUACCCGAUCCGGACACGUGGAGGAUUGACAGAUUGAGAGCUCUUUCUUGAUUACGUGAGGUGUGGUGCAUGGUCGUUUUUAGUUGGUGGAGUGAUUUGUCUGCUUAAUUGCGUCAACGAACGAAAUCCCAACCUACUAAAUAGGCGCCCAGAUCAGUCGAGUCUGGCGUCUCUUCUUAGAGGGACAGGUGGCGUUCAGCCACACGAAACGGGGCCAAAACAGGUCUGGUAUGCCCUCAGAUGUCCGGGGCCGCACGCGCAUCACAUUGAAGGGAGCAGCGUGUGCUAACCCGGCCCGAUAGGGUCGGGUAACCAAAUGAAACCCCUUCGUGCUUGGGACAGGGGUUUUUAACUGUCCCCCUCGAACGAGGAAUGCCCAGUAAGCGCGAGUCAUCAACUUGCGUUGAUUACGUCCCUGGCUUUUGUGCACACCGCCCGUCGCCGUAACCGAUUGGACGACUUAGUGAGCUCUCCGGACUGGCGCCCGGACUGGCCUUCGGGUCGGGCCGGUUUGUGCCGGAAAAGAAAGCGAACUUGGCUGUCUAGAGGAUACGAAAGUCGUAACAAGGUAGUC